rnacentral:piRNA from 1 species
UAUGUUAAAUCUCGCCCGAACAGUUGC